UACGGAGGAUGCAAGCGUUAUCCGGAAUGAUUGGGCGUAAAGCGUCCGCAGGUGGGUGUGCAAGUCUAUUGUCAAAGCGUCAUGCUUAACAUGAUCAAGGCAGUGGAAACUGCACAACUAGAGUGCGUUCGGGGCAGAGGGAAUUCCUGGUGUAGCGGUGAAAUGCGUAGAGAUCAGGAAGAACACCGGUGGCGAAAGCGCUCUGCUAGGCCGCAACUGACACUGAGGGACGAAAGCUAGGGGAGCGAAUGGG
rnacentral:rRNA from 1 species